rnacentral:rRNA from 1 species
CGGAUUGAAGGCUGAAAUUCGCCUUCAUGAAGCUGGAAUUGCUAGUAAUGGCAGGUCAGCAUACUGCCGUGAAUACGUUCCCGGGCCUUGUACACACCGCCCGUCACACCAUGAGAGUUGGGAAUACCCGAAGCCUGUGAGCUAACUGUAAGGAGGCAGCAGUCGAAGGUAGAAUCAAUGAUUGGGGUGAAGUCGUAACAAGGUAUC